UGUUCCCUGAAGUGUUUGCCAGCCGGUCCAGUCCCCUGAGCCGAUAUCAACACCCCGGGAUGUUCGAGUAACGGUUGUGUGCAUGUCCGCCCGACGGAAAGCCUUAUAUCGUGACCGUGCAUCCCCCUUGAACCGUAGGGUUCAAGGGUUACGAUCGGCAGCGGCACUUCGGAGAACAC
rnacentral:other from 1 species